CUGAAAAUGCAUCACAUGAUAUAGCCGACUUUGAUAAACCUUUCAGAAAUCCUUGUAAUGUAGUUCAUGAAAAAGAUGCAACGAAAAUAUUCAUGGGACAGACGGACGAACUGAGAACGCUGACUGACUGACGGAUGGACGGUUGGACGGACGGACAGAGAGAGGUAAAACAGUAUACCCCCACUUUUUCGAAUCGGCGGUAUAAUGAUUGGGUCAACAUUAAGCUUAAUACUAAAAUUUAUGAUAAAAGAGAUGAUUUUUCAUUUCCUAUCGUUAAUUAUCCAUUUUUAGAUGGUGACGUUCCCUUGUCACCAUCUUACGGUGUUUAUAUAUCUCAACUUUUACGUUUCGCUCGUGUAUGUAACAACAUUUUAGAUUUUAACGAGAGACAUUCAUGUAUGACUGAAAAAUCAUUACACCAGGGUUUUCAAUAUCACAAACUUGUCAAAACAUUUACUAAAUUUUAUCAUCGGUACAAGGACAUCAUUCGAAAAUAGAACUCAACAUGCAGACUUUUUAUACGUUCAGAUAUUUCGCAUCCAAUCUUUUAUGGUAAUAUUCUUUAUAAAGC
rnacentral:lncRNA from 1 species